rnacentral:rRNA from 1 species
UGGGGAAUAUUGCACAAUGGGCGCAAGCCUGAUGCAGCCAUGCCGCGUGUGUGAAGAAGGCCUUCGGGUUGUAAAGCACUUUCAGCGAGGAGGAAGGCGGUUAAGGUUAAUAACCUUAGCGAUUGACGUUACUCGCAGAAGAAGCACCGGCUAACUCCGUGCCAGCAGCCGCGGUAAUACGGAGGGUGCAAGCGUUAAUCGGAAUUACUGGGCGUAAAAGCGCACGCAGGCGGUUUGUUAAGUCAGAUGUGAAAUCCCCGAGCUUAACUUGGGAACUGCAUUUGAAAACUGGCAAGCUAGAGGUCUUGUAGAG